rnacentral:rRNA from 1 species
UACAUGGGGUGCAAACGUUGCUCGGAAUCAUUGGGCGUAAAGCGCGUGUAGGCGGCCAGAUAGGUCUGCUGUGAAAACUCGAGGCUCAACCUCGAGCUGUCGGCGGAAACCAUCUGGCUAGAGUCCGGAAGAGGAGAGUGGAAUUCCUGGUGUAGCGGUGAAAUGCGCAGAUAUCAGGAAGAACACCUAUGGCGAAGGCAGCUCUCUGGGACGGUACUGACGCUGAGACGCGAAAGCGUGGGGAGCGAACAGG